CUCGUAGGCGGUUCGUCGCGUCCGGUGUGAAAGUCCAUCGCUUAACGGUGGAUCCGCGCCGGGUACGGGCGGGCUUGAGUGCGGUAGGGGAGACUGGAAUUCCCGGUGUAACGGUGAAAUGUGUAGAUAUCGGGAAGAACACCAAUGGCGAAGGCAGGUCUCUGGGCCGUUACUGACGCUGAGGAGCGAAAGCGUGGGGAGCGAACA
rnacentral:rRNA from 1 species